rnacentral:rRNA from 1 species
AGAGUUUGAUCAUGGCUCAGGAUGAACGCUAGCUACAGGCUUAACACAUGCAAGUCGAGGGGCAGCAUGGUCUUAGCUUGCUAGGACCGAUGGCGACCGGCGCACGGGUGAGUAACGCGUAUCCAACCUGCCUUACACUCUUGGACAGCCUUCUGAAAGGGAGAUUAAUACAAGAUGUUAUCAUGAGUAAGCAUUUUCACAUGAUUAAAGGUUUACCGGUGUAAGAUGGGGAUGCGUUCCAUUAGAUAGUAGGCGGGGUAACGGCCCACCUAGUCUUCGAUGGAUAGGGGUUCUGAGAGGAAGGUCCCCCANAUUGGAACUGAGACACGGUCCAAACUCCUACGGGAGGCA